UUGGGAAUAUUGGACAAUGGAGGAAACUCUGAUCCAGUGACGCCGCGUGAAGGAAGAAGGUCUUCGGAUUGUAAACUUAUUUUAUUAAGGAAGAAAAAAAUGACAGUACUUAAAGAAAAAGGACCGGCAAACUACGUGCCAGCAGCCGCGGUAAUACGUAGGGUCCAAGCGUUAUCCGGAUUUACUGGGUGUAAAGGGCGAGUAGACGGUUAUACAAGUCAGAUGUGAAAACUUGGAGCUCAACUCCAAGACUGCAUCUGAAACUGUAUGACUAGAGUGCAGGAGAGGUAAGUGGAAUUCCUAGUGUAGCGGUGAAAUGCGUAGAUAUUAGGAGGAACACCAGUGGCGAAGGCGACUUACUGGACUGUAACUGACGUUGAGGCGCGAAAGUGUGGGGAGC
rnacentral:rRNA from 1 species